rnacentral:rRNA from 1 species
AUACGGAGGGUGCGAGCGUUAAUCGGAAUUACUGGGCGUAAAGGGCGCGUAGGCGGACUAUUAAGUUGGAUGUGGAAUCCCUGGGCUUAACCUAGGAACUGCAUUCAAGACUGAUAGACUAGAGUACAGUAGAGGGAAGUGGAAUUUCCGGUGUAGCGGUGAAAUGCGUAGAUAUCGGAAGGAACACCAGUGGCGAAGGCGACUGCCUGCGCCAAUACUGACGCUAAGGUGCGAAAGCGUGGGGAGCAAACAGGAUUAGAAACCCCUGUAGUCC